UUGGUAGUUAUGAGUUUAUUAGGGAUAAAUUGUUAAUUAAGUCACCGAUCUCUUUUAAGAAAACACGCGUACUGCAAUUUUACUGCGUAAAAUACUAAGUUCUGUUCUCUCCCACCUACCUUCCAUGACUCCUCCUGAUUUUCUCCAAUUUCUUCCCGUUGUACAGUGCAGUCUAGAAAUUUCUAUUGCCUUUGAUUUUUAUUCGAUUUUGCACAAAUUUUUCUAGCAGAGCUUCAAAUGACUGGAUUCUCUGAGAUGUCUCGAAACCGAUUCUGCUGAAGAAGUUACUAUGGAGAUUCUAAGCCUUUUCUAGGUUAAUUUGAUUAUUUUAUCCUCGUGUCUUUUAGGGCGUGUACUAUUGUUUAUAAAGGCAAACCACGAUGUACUCACUUUAUGUAUAUCAGAUUUCAAGGACUAAUUCUUGAUUUUAUGUUCUCUUUUCCAAUUGUCUAAAAUUUCUUCUGCCGUUCACUCCAAAGUGUCGUCUCUUUGCUUUGAUGAAUUUAAUUUGCCAUAAACGGACCCAAGCUGCUUACUUGCUAUUAUAUCGCUCUGUUUCUACUUUAUUUUGUGAAUUGAUCAUUUGUCCUGUUUGUUCUGGUUAUACUUUGGUUUGGUUGCUUUUCCGUGUUGUUUCUACUGCUCUGCUCAUUCUGCUUAGCUCCAUUUGAAUUUUAUUUUACAUCUUACCUUUUUUAAGGAAAAUUUUGCACGCACAUGCAUCUGUAGUUUAGUUUUUUUUUCUUUUUUAUUUUACAUUUCUCAAUCUGAGUUCCAAGUUGUCUUUGGUGUGUGUUUUAUUCUAUUUAAUUGUGGUGAAUUUUUCUCUGUUCUUUCAUUUCUUUUAAUGCACCGAUGGGUAUCUGGUAGUUUCUCUAUUGUUUUGGAUAGUUUUUUAGAUGUAUCCAAUUCACAUCUAAUCCACCAAUGCUUUUGAUAAUAGGCCCAGAUUAACUUCUCCACUUUUUCUAGGUAUUCUACAACUGAACACAUUAGUAGGCUCAAUUUGUCGAGCACAUACAUGUCCAGAAUCAGGUAACAAAUGAAUCAAAUUGGUCAAAAAAUAGAAUCAGACAGGCGGCUUGCCACCAUUAGGAAGAUCUACCCACUUCCUCUCCUCCAACACUCUUUUCUUUUCAAGUAAACUUUUAUCAAACUUUGUUUAUCAAUCUCUUGAUAUCCCAUUUCGGUAUUCAUUUCUAUAUUGUUUAUUUUUUGUUUUAUCUGUACAUGUUGUCGUAAUGAUAGUUGAAAUAUCAAGAAGCUUGACUGAUCAGCAAACUUAGAUUCAAAAUGAUUUCACUCUUCUUUGAUUAGUUUAUUGGUGAUACAGGUUUCAAGGUUUGAUAUUAUGACGUAGAUGUCUCUACAAGAUCGAUUACCAUAUGUUGUAGGCAAUUUGAUAUCUCAUUUCCGUCUAUUCACCAAGCAGAAGGAUGGGUUAUUUGGAUUUUCGAAAGAUUACUCUGAUUUAAAGCUCUAUCAUUCUAAAGAGAAUUGAAGUAAUGAGAGCUUUAUGGGCAGAAGGGUAUGCAGAGAUUAAACAAUAUUAAUUUGGAACAGGUGAGAAGCAACAGAAUACUAAUAUGGUAUUUUAAAUUUUUUUCUUAUUUGAUAUAUGCUAUUUUGAGUGAAAUUUUUUAUCUGACGUUGAGUUAAACAUGUGAUACUAAUGCUUGAAAUAAGUUGCUUUGACAUUAGUUCUCUGCCAAUGUAUUGGUUUAUCUUUUAUUUUUAAUAAUUAAUUUGAGGUCUUACAGUAUAACUGAAGAAUUGAAAAGGUAAUUUGGAUUGUCAUCAGCCACUAUGUAACUUUCUUUAUAAGGUGGUCUUAUGUUUCUUUUGUACUUUAGGCUAAGCAAAUAACUUAUCAAAUUAAUUAUCUCAAAAAUUCAGGGCAUCUCAGAAAAUGAAUUGAUCUUAGUUCUGGUGAGAAGACUGUCUAGGAAAAUGACCGGUGAGAAAUAGUAUGCUAAUUUAUCUUGGUUUUGGAACUAUGGAGUGUCUUAGUAGCUAUAUGUUUUACCAAUCAACAAGAUAUGGAGUUUCUGAUAGCAAAAGCUUUUUGGACCAAGCAGACGGCAGUGGCUUAAUUUAUGUUAAAACUCAUUUAUUUCUUCUCUCUCAAAUUCCGUGAAGGUGCAUCUUUAGUUGUGAAAAAGACCUUAAUGAAUGUAUUUCAUGCCUUUAUACAAGAGAACCGUAAUUUAAAUUGACUGCAAUAAUGCCACUUCUUACGCUCACAGCUCUAUACUUCUCUCUUUGAUGAUCCCAUGUUGGCAAAAUUUGGUUCCUCAAUCUGAUUUUUCGAGGAAAGCAUAUGGACAAGUUUCCAUUUGAUCGAGAUGGGGUAAGGAGGUUGUCUGGUAUAGCUUCUUUUCAUAUCAUGGUGGUGGAAAUGGAUCUUAGCAAAACUUAAGCAAAUUUUAAUGGCUAUUCUCCGAAACACUGGUUGUUGACAUAACCUUUAUUAAGAAAAAAAUCAUGUUCUAGACCAAGUAAGUCAACAUGUGCUUCUACUGCUACAUAUGGUGACGGGUAAUCUUUAUGGCCAAGAUAUUACCAGUUUAAGGUGUUGCAAAUAUGAUGGAAGUUAAAAGCACAAUUGUACCUCAGAGUGGUAUCUCAGCUUGAAAAAUCUACAGAGUAUUAUAUCUGGACUGGGAUCACAGAGUUUAUACGUUUAUGGCAAAAGGCCUUUCCAAUUGUACGAUUGCUUAACAAAUGCAAUCCUUGCAUCAAGCACUGACAACUAUCCUGAAGAAAACAUUCUGAAUACAUUAGAACCAAGUGACUGAGUUAGCUGCUGGGCUUCAUACUGGAUAAGUGGAGGAGAAAUAUCAAAGUUUGUGCUUGAUUUCAUAAUUCAUGUGCAACCAUUUCAAGGUUUCACCUCAAGUUCUAUUUUCGGUAAUGUUAUGGAUUUGUUCAUUCGGCUUGAUUUUUUUCUCAUUAACCAGAAAUAUUAUAAUUUUGUAAAAACAUAUUUCCAGUUUGGUUUUCCUCUUUAUUCAACAAAAGCUGUGAGAUUCAGAGUCGGACA